CCUAUGAGAAUCAAGUACAUUCUAAAAAGAAUAUAACUGAAUGCAGUCCUCUACAUUGUUUAUGUGUAACACAUGUUUGAGAUUAAUCAAAUUGUAGUCACUUCUCAUUAACAGCAGAAAAUAAUUUCAAAAUUGGGCAGAGCCAGAUGACAAAGAAUUGUUUGUGUGGGUUCAAGACAUACUUUAUGAAUGGAAACACAUGCCUAUUGUGACAUCUGACUUGCUCAUUUUGUUUUCCUCCUAUUGUUCUAUCCAUAUAAAGCAUUUUAAGGGAGCCUGCUCUAUAGUGUUUUCUCGGGUACAGACUCAGUAUUUGGGGAUAAAAGAAAUCAAUGUGAUCUUUUCAAGAUACUACAAAAAUCCAAAAUUUCAGCAUAUGGAUAGUUGUUAUCAUUGGACAUGUGUAGGUUUUAUCAUGUUUAUAAAAUGUCCAUCAGAGAGCAGUAUGUUCCUCUCUUCCCCAAUUCUUGCAUUGACAGUAAGUGUUGGUGUAAAAAUAUAAAAAA
rnacentral:lncRNA from 1 species